GCUGAAAGCAUUUGAAAUUUAUCAAUUUUCACUCUAGCAGAAGGUAGUUUCGGACUUUGCCGAUUAUUACAAAUGAGGCCUUAUCACUGAAGUUUGUAACAUCCGAUAUCAGCGGAUAACUGCCAUUGCAUUUAGCGACAGCUGUAAACAGAAUGGCAGAAGAACCUUUUGAGAGGACGGAAAAGAAACCCGAGCCUGUCAGCAUUACCUCCCCUGAAAUGUAAGAAACUGGUGGAUUCCAAGACAAAAUUGUGGAAAAUGGAGACAUCUUCAAAUAACAGAAAGAAAUAAAGGCUGAAGAGGCAGGAUCACAGAUGUCAGAUGAAAGUUACCGCAAAAAAGGUUAAGUUGGAAAAGAGUGAAAAUGAAAAUGGAUGCUUGUGCAGUGACUGAAGUUGAAGUCAUAAAUUGAGGAUGAUGAAGCUACACGAAAAAGCUCUCAGCUCUACAGUCCGAGUCUGACCGACUUGUCCGACGAGCCACUGUCGGCGGCACUGCGAUCGCAGGCCCCUCACGGUGUGUGCUUACUCAGGCAAGUGUCGUGGGGAUUUGUUAAUGUAGAGGCUGACUGUACGCUGUAGGUGUCUGCAGACUUCCAUCAUUAGAGGAACAGUUCUAUGAACAGUACAUGCCAUGCUCGGGAGUGUGGACCACUUCGUUGGUUACUCGAGUUCCUCAUCUGACCCCAGAACUGUCAUUUACUGCAGCUAGGCAUUUAGCACUAAUAAAAUGUGAGUUACAUAAAAUGGAAGUGUCCGACAUAUCAGCAGCCGUGAAGAUAUGAAAAUUUAAAGGUAUCUCCAUUUUGAGCAGUACAAACUUUAGAAUUAUUAUUCUAAUUUGUUAAUCCUGUGGUGUAGUCCACGUACUGUGUGAAAGUGACUUGUCAACAUAUGAUCGAAGAACAUUUAUUAUAAACUUUCCUGGUGAUCUCAGUGAACUGCAUUUGGUAA